AUACAUUCUCAUAUCAAAGAGUCCCUCAAUCAGUUAAGAAUACUACUGUGGCUUUUAGCAACUACACUCAAAACACUGUUAUUCUCCAUUUCAAUAUACCAAUUAUAGUUGAGUGUACUGGUGAAGCUCCUGAGAACGCUACUGUUACUAUACAGUGUAAUGGAACUGUUAUAUUUCAUAACAUAUAUCUUAUAGUGAAUUAUCAAAAUAAUGUAACAGGAUUAGUACCAAUGCCACAUUAUAAAUCUAGCUGCUCAGUUAUAAUUGUAUUUAGUAAUGCUAUUGGUAGAAGUGAACCAUUUUUAUUAACAUUUGAAACUACUACUAAUGUUACUAUCAGUGAUACACAAUCAUCUUCAAAAGUAUCUAUGCCAGUUCUUGCUGGAGCUAUUAUUGGUGGCAUUUUUGCUAUUCUAGUACUAAUAAUUUUUACAUGUAUUUUGGUAUUCUUAUGUUAUUGUAUAAAGAAAAGAAAAU
rnacentral:lncRNA from 1 species